AACAGCCACAUUGGGACUGAGACACGGCCCAAACUCCUACGGGAGGCAGCAGUAGGGAAUUUUCGGCAAUGGAGGAAACUCUGACCGAGCAACGCCGCGUGAAUGACGAAGUACUUCGGUAUGUAAAGUUCUUUUAUCAAGGAAGAAAAGCAAAUGGCGAACCAUUUGUUUGCCGGUACUUGAUGAAUAAGCCCCGGCUAAUUAUGUGCCAGCAGCCGCGGUAAGACAUAAGGGGCAAGUGUUAUCCGGAAUUAUUGGGCGUAAAGGGUGCGUAGGCGGUCUAGUAAGUCAGUGGUGUAAUGGCAACGCUUAACGUUGUCCGGCUAUUGAAACUGCUAAACUUGAGUUAGAUAGAGGCGAGUGGAAUUCCAUGUGUAGCGGUAAAAUGCGUAAAUAUAUGGAGGAACACCAGAGGCGUAGGCGGCUCGCUGGGUCUUAACUGACGCUGAGGCACGAAAGCGUGGGGAGCAAACAGGAUUAGAUACCCUGGUAGUCCACGCCGUAAACGAUGAGUACUAAGUGUCGGGUUAAACCGGUACUGAAGUUAACACAUUAAGUACUCCGCCUGAGUAGUACGUACGCAAGUAUGAAACUUAAAGGAAUUGACGGGACUCCGCACAAGCGGUGGAUCAUGUUGUUUAAUUCGAAGAUACCCGAAAAACCUUACCAGGUCUUGACAUGUUUUUGCAAAAUGAUAGUAAUAUCGUGGAGGUUACCAGAAACACAGGUGGUGCAUGGUUGUCGUCAGCUCGUGUCGUGAGAUGUUAGGUUAAGUCCUAAAACGAGCGAAACCCUUAUCGUUAGUUGCCAGCACGUUAUGGUGGGGACUUUAACGAGACUGCCAAUGAUAAAUUGGAGGAAGGUGAGGAUCACGUCAAAUCAGCAUGCCCCUUAUGACCUGGGCUACAAACGUGAUACAAUGGCUGUUACAAAGGGUAGCUGAAACGCAAGUUCUUGGCCAAUCCCCAAAAACAGUCCCAGUCCGGAUUGAAGUCUGCAACUCGACUUCAUGAAGUUGGAAUCGCUAGUAAUCGCACAUGCGGGGACGUC
rnacentral:rRNA from 1 species